AUUGAACGCUGGCGGCAUGCCUUACACAUGCAAGUCGAACGGCAGCGCGGGAGCAAUCCUGGCGGCGAGUGGCGAACGGGUGAGUAAUAUAUCGGAACGUGCCCAGUAGCGGGGGAUAACGCAGCGAAAGUUGUGCUAAUACCGCAUACGCACUACGGUGGAAAGAGGGGGAUCGCAAGACCUCUCACUAUUGGAGCGGCCGAUAUCAGAUUAGCUUGUUGGCGGGGUAAAAGCCCACCAAGGCGACGAU
rnacentral:rRNA from 1 species